AGUGAACGCUGGCGAUAGGCCUAACACAUGCAAGUCGAACGGCAGCACAGGAGAGCUUGCUCUCUGGGUGGCGAGUGGCGGACGGGUGAGGAAUACAUCGGAAUCUACUUUUUCGUGGGGGAUAACGUAGGGAAACUUACGCUAAUACCGCAUACGACCUACGGGUGAAAGCAGGGGAUCUUCGGACCUUGCGCGAUUGAAUGAGCCGAUGUCGGAUUAGCUAGUUGGCGGGGUAAAGGCCCACCAAGGCGACGAUCCGUAGCUGGUCUGAGAGGAUGAUCAGCCCCACUGGAACUGGGACACGGUCCAGACUCCUACGGGAGGCAGCAGUGGGGAAUAUUGGACAAUGGGCGCAAGCCUGAUCCAGCCAUACCGCGUGGGUGAAGAAGGCCUUCGGGUUGUAAAGCCCUUUUGUUGGGAAAGAAAUCCAGCUGGUUAAUACCCGGUUGGGAUGACGGUACCCAAAGAAUAAGCACCGGCUAACUUCGUGCCAGCAGCCGCAGUAA
rnacentral:rRNA from 1 species